rnacentral:lncRNA from 1 species
UUUUCUUCCAAUUCAUAAACAAUUUUGGCAAAUGAUCUAUAUUCUUCUUCUUUUGAUGAUAAAGGGGUAUCAUCAUCUUCAUCAGUUUUGAUCCUGAUAACUCUUGUAUAUUCAUUACCAUUUUUUAUAGUCACCUUCCGGGGACUUGCUAUGUCUCGUUUGAUAUUGCUGGGUCCACUGCUGCUUCCUGGCUGUGUACCCGUUUGUAUUUUUGAGAUUGUAUCUAUUGGUAUUUCUUGUUUGGUAUUUAAUGACUCGAAUUGUGAAAUAAUAUCAUCAAUUCUAUCAUUCAAUUCUUUGGUAUAUUUGGAAUGAGAAUUAGAGAUUUCCACCAGCAAUUUGACAUUUGUUGAAUAGAUUCUGCCAUUUGCUCUAAUUGCUCAAUUCCAAUUUUCAUAUCUUCUGAUUCCUCCAUGAGGAAUUCCAUUCGUCUUUUGACGUCUAUUAAUGAAUUUUUGAUAUUAUCCAUCUCCAAAUUCGAUAUUCCUGCUCAAAAAAUCUGCAAGA